rnacentral:rRNA from 1 species
GUGACCUCGGAUCCGGUAGAUACUACGACGGC